AUUGAACGCUAGCGGGAUGCCUUACACAUGCAAGUCGAACGGAGUGGCGAACGGGUGAGUAAAGUAUCGGAACUUGCCCAGUAGCGGGGGAUAACUACGCGAAAGCGUAGCUAAUACCGCAUACUAUUGGAGCGGCCGAUAUCGGAGUAGCUAGUUGGUGGGGUAACGGCUCACCAAGGCGACGAUCCGUAGCUGGUUUGAGAGGACGACCAGCCAUACUGGGAAUGAAACACGGCCCCGACUCCUACGUGAGGAAGCAGUGGGGAAUUUUGGACAAUGGAGGAAACCCUGAUCCAGCCAUCCCGCGUGUGGGAUGAAGGCCUUCGGAUUGUAAAGCACUGUUGGCAGGAAAGCGGUACCUGCAGAGUAAGCACCGGCUAACUACGUGCCAGCAGCCGCGGUAAUAC
rnacentral:rRNA from 1 species